rnacentral:lncRNA from 1 species
UAACUCCCUUAGGUCUACAUAAGCAAAUGCUGAUGCUAAAAGAGGCAGUGCCAACUUCCUGCUGACCCAAUCAGUGUUUUCACUCUCUUUGCUUUCCCAGUGACUGCAAAUAGUCAUAUAUACAUAUGGGAGGAGGGGAAAGAAAGAGUUGGUUUUAACCCAAGCACUGUCCUGUUCCCACUCACUGUGUGGCUGCAUGAACAUCUGGCAGAUGGGAAGGAGAGACAUGCAAAUGGAAUUAAGCAGGCAGAGGACUGGAAGGUGAUGACCAUGACCCCAGAAAAAGCCUAGAGAAAACAACCUCUUUACGAGACAUACCUUGCAAUAGAUGUUUGUUUAACUGGAAAUCCACAAGAGCAGCUGCCCAGUGCAACGGUACAUAUUUGCUUCUGAAUCCUUUCUCAAAGACACUAUUUAAACAUGCUGAUGAACUGAGCUGGAUUUUCCCCCACCUCCAUUCCAGUAAAAUAAGGAGACUCAGAAGAUAAAAUUUGUUUUGUUAUUGCAAGUAGUGCUGUGUGGUAAGUGAGAAAUUUACUUUCUAUAGUCCUAUGUAAUUAUGAGGGUGGGAAAUGUCCAUUUCCUGUACAGAUGCAAUGUCUGUGAGUACUGCUCAGUGAUAUUUCUAUUUGAAAAUGAAUAUACUUCUAUUUCUAGAAGGGUUUGUGUGUAGAGCUUCUUCUUGUCCAUAUUUGGCUUGAUGCUAAAGAUCUGCUGCUCUAGCUUCACCACUCUGGCAAGAGGAAACAAGUAUUCCUUGUGUUGAGACUGUAAUUCCAAGCUAUACAAUGUGUUUCAGUCUGGUUCUGAUUUAUGUUAAGCUGUAAACAACUGAGAUUUAUAAUGUGGGUUUUAUGAUGUGUGCAGCUGGACUAGCUAUCACUAAGUUUCAUGCAGUAUCCUGAAUAGGAAGACUGAUAACAGAGAUUUUUCAAAUGCCCCAGAUCUGGGCUAAGUUUGAUGCUUUCACCUAGAGGGGAAAAUUUGUGCCUCCUGAGCCAGUUAUAUUUUACACUUUUUUUCUGGACUAGGUUUUAGCCUUUCCUCUGUCAUUUUCUGGAUGGGAAUCCCUUCACCCAGUGAAUAACUUUAAUUGGCAGAAGAAAUUUCUAAAGUGCUCCUUCUCUCUUAGAACUGUUUCUGCAGCCAUUCUACCUCCAAAGCCAAAGGAAUUGGGAAUGACCAUAGCUGAGGUGGUGUCACUCUUCUCCUCCACCGCUGGCCAAUGAUGCAAAUUAUCAGAAAGGACGUGACUCAGUGUCCUUUCUACUCCUGUGGGCAGCACUUAUGCAUGUGACAAACUUCAUUCUUGCAUGGAGAAAGCUCUGAUCUGAGGGUACACUAAGUGACACAAAAAUAAACUUUCUCAGAGUAGGAAUGAUAUUUUCCA